rnacentral:lncRNA from 1 species
UUCUGCACUGAGGGAAGCUGUCUCCAUUUCCUGUCUAAGCAAAUCUGACACAUUAUGAUUUUGGCAAAAGCAAAAUCUCCUCCCAGUGCAGAAGUUUUUCUUCUGACCUCAAGAUCACUGACUUUUCUUUUUCCUACUUGGAAACAGUUUUCUUGUUUCAAGUCUGACAGGAUUUUGGAAGCUAUUUGGAGGAAUUAUUUAUUUGAUUAAGUAACUUUUUUCUUUUUUUUUUUUUUACCAUCCCAAUUUCUAGAGCUUUUUGCUAGAGAUCCCCAUUUUGGGGGGUUCAGCUCCCAGACUGAAGCAGAAGGAUAAGGCAAGCACAGCUUCCUCUAACCCUGGGAACUUCAGAAUUUUGGUCAGCUCAGGGGAAGUUUCCUCUAGGAAAUCAUGAAGUGAAUCUCUGUCUCUUAUCAGUCUCUUUGUGUAAAAGUGAAGACCUGAGGAUUUUUUUUAUCAUCUCACAAACAGAAGCUGUAUGGAAGGAAAAUAAUGUAUGGGGAGGAAAAAAAAAAUGCAUGCCUGUGGUUAAAAUAAACUAAUUGGAAGAGAAGAAUCCUAAUUGAAAUUGCAUCUGUGUACCAAAGGAAAAUUUCUAUAUGCUAUGAAACCUAUGGUUAAAAAUACCUUGCACCUGAAAAUGUAUGAGCUGGAUCCUGAGCCAGACAGCUGAAGUCAGCAAGAUUAGAAAGAAAGAAACUGGGGAGUUUGUGCUGAAUUCUGGCCAAAUUAGCCCAAAUGACCCCCUCAUAUGUCCCACAGGUGGGUGUUCUGCAGCUCCUCCUCCUCCUCUUCCUGUGCCACUACAGUGAAUAAACCUUGCCUUUGCAGACCAUGAAUGUACACAGUAAGGGCUCAAUGAUAUAUUCAAAAUCCUGUAUUUCUGUGACCAAAAACCCCAGCAAAAACCAGCCAUUUGGAUUUUCUUAGCUAGGGAAGUUUUGUUUCAUAAAUUCUCAAAACACAUGAAGUCAUCAGCCAUUUCUGAACAUGUAAGCAGAAAUACACUUGCAGAUGUUCUCCUGUUAAAAGUUAAACAGUCCAUUUAGGCAAGCAGUAGAAAGAUACAUAAAGGGAACAACUUGACAGCUUCUGUUUUUCCAUGUGCUGGAGGUGUAAGGCUCAGAUACCUCUGCUUUGGGCAUCAUUCUCUGGAACAGGGCUUCAUUUUUUUUCCAGUGCAGCAUGACACUGUCUAAUUAGUCAUCAUUACUGUAUGAAAUGACAUGAGAAGACAAAGCCCUGUAGGGGAAAAGGUGUGCCCAGAAGGGGUUAAAUUGUCAUUUCACAUGAAGGAAAUGGAUGCAUAACAGUAUUGACACAGUGAACUUCUUGACAUAAUGGCUUUGAAGUGAUGCAGUGUGCCAUCAUCUCAUUCCUCCAGUGAGAGGCACUAAACCCUGUCAAAUUCAUCAAAUUGCACAACAAAAUUCAUAUUAGUAUGUCUGACAAAGCAAUCCCUUGGCCAUGAAAAUGCAAUAAAAUCCCUAAAGUUGGUUUUGAGCUUGAUGGA